UACGUAGGGGGCAAGCGUUGUCCGGAUUUAUUGGGCGUAAAGAGCGUGUAGGCGGCCAGAUAGGUCCGUUGUGAAAACUGGAGGCUUAACCUCGAGACGUCGGCGGAAACCAUCUGGCUAGAGUCCGGAAGAGGAGAGUGGAAUUCCUGGUGUAGCGGUGAAAUGCGCAGAUAUCAGGAAGAACACCCGUGGCGAAGGCGGCUCUCUGGGACGGUACUGACGCUGAGACGCGAAAGCGUGGGGAGCGAACAGG
rnacentral:rRNA from 1 species